AAUGAACGCUGGCGGCAGGCUUAACACAUGCAAGUCGAGCGGAGCGAGGGUGCUUGCACCUUAGCUUAGCGGCGGACGGGUGAGUAAUGCUUAGGAAUCUACCUAUUAGUGGGGGACAACAUUCCGAAAGGAAUGCUAAUACCGCAUACGCCCUACGGGGGAAAGCAGGGGAUCUUCGGACCUUGCGCUAAUAGAUGAGCCUAAGUCGGAUUAGCUAGUUGGUGGGGUAAAGGCCUACCAAGGCGACGAUCUGUAGCGGGUCUGAGAGGAUGAUCCGCCACACUGGGACUGAGACACGGCCCAGACUCCUACGGGAGGCAGCAGUGGGGAAUAUUGGACAAUGGGCGGAAGCCUGAUCCAGCCAUGCCGCGUGUGUGAAGAAGGCCUUUUGGUUGUAAAGCACUUUAAGCGAGGAGGAGGCUACUGGUACUAAUACUACUGGAUAGUGGACGUUACUCGCAGAAUAAGCACCGGCUAACUCUGUGCCAGCCGCCGCCGUAAGAC
rnacentral:rRNA from 1 species